rnacentral:misc_RNA from 1 species
UAGUUAUGUUUGAGUGAAAGGAACUCAAAUCUUCUGUUAACUUAGGAUAUGUCAAUACAACAACAGAGUAACAGAAUAUAGCGAACAUGUGAAAGAAGGCACAGAUGCUAACGCCUGCUCAUUUUUACAUCUCGUCUCUAUGUAUCCUAAUAGGGAAGUACCUAAUCUAAGCCAGCAUCACUGGCAUAUCUGUGUAGUAGAGUUCAUUUAUCAAUCCAAUCUUUGAAAAGAAGCAUCAUAUAUAGAGGGAUGUUAAAAGCUGCAACGAUAGUAAUUAUACACAAUGUCCUCACCAAUCUCCUAAUUACCAUCUUUGUCGCUGAUUUGUUUGUCCGAGGCAAUGCUUUUACCGCGGUAUCUGAUCCUAUAUGUAAAGUCACAUCAGCGGGAUUUGAGGUAUCUGUCUCUUGUUUUCUGGCAACUGACCGCAUGAUAGCAUUACCCCGUUCUACUGAAGCGCUGUCGCUUGAGCAUGUAGAAGACACUUUAAAGGUUUUCUUUAUGAGGUGCAUCGAUCCUUCUGCAUCCCAUAUCUCCUCAUAUUCAUAUAUCUCAUCUUCACUUUUCAGUUUUUUCCCACCUCCCCAAAAGCUUGAACUAAUUAGACCUCUUACAUUCCUAAGAAAUCCAUCAAGAUAGUUUGGAAAGAGCACCCCACUCGUGGGCCAAAAGACGGCAAUAAGAAGGGUUAUGACAAACAGCAAAAUAUACCAUAUAUAAAUGUAUAACUGCACAGGGAGAAAGCACACUUUGGUGGAAAUUGCAUCCGCUGACAUUGAUCCAUUCGGUAAGAUAAGGCUACUUGCAGAUAAUAGCAUGUAAGAUGGAAACAAAUUUCCCUGCUGCCAGCUUAUAGUACCUAGAGUAUGCUCUUCUACGGAACCAUAUUUGGAUUUGUGGAUCACUGUACACUGAUCAUGGUCAUGCCCGGAGAGAAUUAGUGCAGGUUUGAUCGAGUCAAGCAGGUCAUUCGUUCCUUUUUCAGUAAUAUAGUUUUGAUAUAAUAUUUCCUUAUCCUGAGCAGCACGGUUGAUUCUCUGAUUAAUAAUUGACGAUGAGCGGUAUGAACCGCAGGCAGUUUGAUCUGGUCGAUACAAUGGAAUAUGAGUCAAUAGAACCCUUGGAUUCGAAGACAGAUGGUUAGAGACAUUCUUGACAAAUUCCCAUGUGGCAGGGGUUAUAUUGUUCUGGGGAUGCCCAUCUAAGGUUUGCGCAUCGAUGGUGAUGAAAUCUACUUUCCCAGCUGUAAACUGAUAGUUCCUUUCACCAAAUGCUUUCUCGUAGCGUUUGAUAACCUCCGGCAUACGCGAGUGAAAAGCUGCAUACCCUAUAUCAUGGUUUCCAGCAAGGUAGUACAGCUUUAUGUUCGUAGUUUGUUCAAGCAUGUCAAUGUCAAAUAUAUGCUUAAACCGACUCCAGGAUUCCUGCCAUUCUUCAUCAGAGAGAAAAG